rnacentral:rRNA from 1 species
UGGGGAAUAUUGGACAAUGGGCGCAAGCCUGAUCCAGCAAUGCCGCGUGUGUGAAGAAGGCCUUCGGGUUGUAAAGCACUUUUAUCAGGAGCGAAACGCUGUCGGCUAAUACCCGGCGGAACUGACGGUACCUGAGGAAUAAGCACCGGCUAACUUCGUGCCAGCAGCCGCGGUAAUACGAAGGGUGCAAGCGUUAAUCGGAAUUACUGGGCGUAAAGCGUGCGUAGGCGGUUUCUUAAGUCUGCUGUGAAAUCCCCGGGCUCAACCUGGGAAUGGCAGUGGAUACUGGGAGGCUAGAGUGUGUCAGAGGGUGGUGGAAUUCCCGGUGUAGCGGUGAAAUGCGUAGAGAUCGGGAGGAACAUCAGUGGCGAAGGCGGCCACCUGGGACAACACUGACGCUGAGGCACGAAAGCGUGGGGAGCAAACAGGAUUAGAUACCCUGGUAGUCCACGCCCUAAACGAUGCGAACUGGAUGUUGGUCUCAACUCGGAGAUCAGUGUCGAAGCUAACGCGUUAAGUUCGCCGCCUGGGGAGUACGGUCGCAAGACUGAAACUCAAAUGAAUUGACGGGGUCAUAGUGUUUCC